UGACCUACCCAAAGAACAAGUCACGGCUAACUACGUGCCAGCAGCCGCGGUAAUACGUAGGUGACAAGCGUUAUCCGGAUUUACUGGGCGUAAAGGGAACGCAGGCGGUUUUUUAAGUCUGAUGUGAAAGCCUUCGGCUUAACCGGAGAAUAGCAUUGGAAACUGGAAGACUUGAGUGCAGAAGAGGAGAGUGGAACUCCAUGUGUAGCGGUGAAAUGCGUAGAUAUAUGGAAGAACACCAGUGGCGAAAGCGGCUCUCUGGUCUGUAACUGACGCUGAGGUUCGAAAGCGUGGGUAGCAAACAGGAUUAGAUACCCUG
rnacentral:rRNA from 1 species